rnacentral:lncRNA from 1 species
GGCAGCUGCUCUCUGACCUCCAUCAGCACUUGAGCUUUUGGAGCAUUGAGGGGGGCGUUGCUGUGGAAUUCUCCUGGGGGAGAGCUCUACCGAACCCUGCGGUCCGGGCUCCUCUACCUAUGAGCUUGGGGAGGAGUGUGAACAUGCUUGUGUCUGGGGGAUGUUCAAGAAUGUGGCCGAGUGAAGGAGGAGUGCAGACAUGCUUAUGUCCAGGGGA